rnacentral:lncRNA from 1 species
UGUAUGGCAUCAUCGAAUGAGUUCACUGAACUCUUCUCCAACCCCUUUGCACAUGAAACGGGCCACUUAGGCCCCAAAAGCUUUUUCAAGUCAUCUCCUUUGUUGCCAAGUCCGGAAUGGAAAACAAAUAUAUGAAUUCCGAAUUGGGAGUAAAAUACAGGGCUAAGGCGAAAUACAGGUGUUUGGAAGCAAGAUAUACA